UCUAAUUCCAAUUCCACAAUUAAACGGGUCCAAACGCGGAUCUAAUAUGGAUCAAAAAUUAAAAUCGGGUCAAGGGUAUCGGCACCCCUCUCUUUCUAUCUAACUCACCAUUUUUCCUCAGCCGCAGGUGCUCUGCUCUCCACCAUCGCUUCCACCUGCAACCCUUUCCCACCACCGUCUCCCCCCUGCCUUCCGUUUCUCUGGCCACUCAUUUGGUCUAGAUCCAAAUGAAUCUGACAACGAUGGGAGAACUGCCCUGCAUAUAGCUGCAUCAAAAGGAAACGAGAAUUGUGUGCUACUGCUUCUGGAUUUUGGAGCGGACCCCAACAGCAGAGAUAUGGCAUCUGAAGCAACAUCUCAGUCAAAAGGGAAAGGCAAAGGGUAUUUCACUUGGACUCCUGAAAUGGAUCGUGUAAUGGGCACCUGUUUUAUUGACCAAAUGAACCAAGGAAACAAAUUGGAUGGUAAAUGUGCAUUGGUAAUUGAUUUUUUUUGGUAAUCUCCAGUUGAAGUUGUUUUGUAGAAGAAGUUGAGCUGAUUGCUGGAAGCCCAAGUAGAGCAAGUAGAAGUUGUUACUACUCCAUCGUGUAUCCAUGACUUUUUAAAUUCUGAUGAGUUCUUUGUUUUUUAUGUAAUGGAUCAAAACAAGAUUAUAGAAAGAUUCUAGAGAGUAUUUCAGCUAUUUUCUCUGUUUUUGAGAUGAUAAGAAUGGAACAUUGGAUCUUUUGUCUGAUGAACUAGCAUUUUAGAUAUUGAGAUUAACAUAGCUGCCUGUGUUGAUGCCCUGACUUGUCCU